UACGGAGUGUGCAAGCGUUACUCGGAAUCACUGGGCAUAAAGCGUGCGUAGGCGGGUUUUCAAGUCGGUUGUGAAAUCCCUCAGCUCAACUGAGGAACUGCAUCCGAUACUGUCUGUCUUGAGGACGGGAGGGGAGAGUGGAACUUCUGGUGGAGCGGUGAAAUGCGUAGAUAUCAGAAGGAACGCCGGUGGCGAAAGCGACUCUCUGGCCCGUAUCUGACGCUGAGGCACGAAAGCUUGGGUAGCAAACGGGAUUAGAA
rnacentral:rRNA from 1 species